rnacentral:rRNA from 1 species
UACGGAGGGUGCAAGCGUUGCUCGGAAUCACUGGGCGUAAAGCGACCGCAGGCGGCCUGACAAGUCGGAUGUGAAAGCCCUGGGCUCAACUCAGGAACUGCAUUCGAAACUGGUAGGCUCGAGUACGGGAGAGGGGGUGGAAUUCCUAGUGUAGGAGGUGAAAUUCGUAGAUAUUAGGAAGAACACCGGUGGCGAAGGCGGCCCACUGGAUCGGGUACUGACGCUGAGGUGCGAAAGCGUGGGGAGCAAACAGG